AAGUCGAACGAAGCAAUUGAAGGAAGUUUUCGGAUGGAAUCAGUAUAACUUAGUGGCGGACGGGUGAGUAACGCGUGGGAAACCUGCCCUGUACCGGGGGAUAACACUUAGAAAUAGGUGCUAAUACCGCAUAAGCGCACGGAACCGCAUGGUACGGUGUGAAAAACUCCGGUGGUGUGAGAUGGAUCCGCGUCUGAUUAGCCAGUUGGCGGGGUAACGGCCCACCUAGUCUUCGAUGGAUAGGGGUUCUGAGAGGAAGGUCCCCACAUUGGAACUGAGACACGGUCCAAACUCC
rnacentral:rRNA from 1 species